UACGGAGGAUGCAAGUGUUAUCCGGAAUCACUGGGCGUAAAGCGUCUGUAGGUGGUUUGCUAAGUCUGCUGUUAAAGCUUGAAGCUCAACUUCAAAAAAUGCAGCAGAAACUAGUAGACUUGAGUAUGGUAGGGGUAGAGGGAAUUUCCAGUGAAGUGGUGAAAUGCGUAGAUAUUGGAAAGACCACCAAUGGCGAAGGCACUCUACUGGGCCAUAACUGACACUGAGAGACGAAAGCUAGGGGAGCAAAUGGG
rnacentral:rRNA from 1 species